ACGGGAGGCAGCAGUGGGGAAUAUUGCACAAUGGGGGAAACCCUGAUGCAGCAACGCCGCGUGAAGGAAGACGGUUUUCGGAUUGUAAACUUCUGUUCUUAGUGAAGAUAGUGACGGUAGCUAAGGAGCAAGCCACGGCUAACUACGUGCCAGCAGCCGCGGUAAUACGUAGGUGGCAAGCGUUGUCCGGAAUUACUGGGUGUAAAGGGAGCGCAGGCGGGAAGCCAAGUCAGCUGUGAAAACUACAGGCUUAACUUGUAGACUGCAGUUGAAACUGGUUUUCUUGAGUGAAGUAGAGGUUGGCGGAAUUCCGAGUGUAGCGGUGAAAUGCGUAGAUAUUCGGAGGAACACCGGUGGCGAAGGCGGCCAACUGGGCUUUAACUGACGCUGAGGCUCGAAAGUGUGGGGAGCAAACAGGAUUAGAUACCCUGGUA
rnacentral:rRNA from 1 species